UCGAACGGCAGCACGGGGGCAACCCUGGGUGGCGAGUGGCGAACGGGUGAGUAAUACAUCGGAACGUGCCCAGUCGUGGGGGAUAACGUAGCGAAAGCUACGCUAAUACCGCAUACGAACUCUGGUUGAAGGCGGGGGAUCGCAAGACCUCGCGCGAUUGGAGCGGCCGAUGGCAGAUUAGGUAGUUGGUGGGGUAAAGGCCUACCAAGCCGACGAUCUGUAGCUGGUCUGAGAGGACGACCAGCCACACUGGGACUGAGACACGGCCCAGACUCCUACGGGAGGCAGCAGUGGGGAAUUUUGGACAAUGGGCGCAAGCCUGAUCCAGCCAUUCCGCGUGCAGGAUGAAGGCCCUCGGGUUGUAAACUGCUUUUGUACGGAACGAAACGGCCUGGGUUAAUACCUCGGGCUAAUGACGGUACCGUAAGAAUAAGCACCGGCUAACUACGUGCCAGCAGCCGCGGUAAUACGUAGGGUGCGAGCGUUA
rnacentral:rRNA from 1 species